rnacentral:rRNA from 1 species
UACGGAGGGGGCCAGCGUUAUUCGGAAUUAUUGGGCGUAAAGGGCGCGUAGGCGGCCAUGCGUGUCUUCCGUGAAAUCCCUCGGCUUAACUGAGGACGUGCGGAAGAAACUGCAAGGCUCGAGUCCGGGAGAGGGGGGUGGAAUUCCCAGUGUAGCGGUGAAAUGCGUAGAUAUUGGGAGGAACACCGGUGGCGAAGGCGGCCCCCUGGACCGGUACUGACGCUGAGGCGCGAAAGCGUGGGUAGCAAACGGG